GGAAGAAGUGGGGCUGGGCGCGCAGGCGCGGUCCGGCUCUUAUCCGCGCCGGGGCACCCGGAUGAAGGCGGGGAAUCGCGUGCAGCCGGGAAGACGCUCAAGGUCACUUUGUAACAACUUUAUUGGUAACCAGCUGGGAAGGACACUGACAGCCACCGGGGAUGGGCUGCCGCAUAGGGGCUGGUAAAGGGGAGAGGAAAGAGGUUGACCGCUAGCCCCGCAGAGAGAAACGUUUCUUUCGGUUGACACCUGAGACAGUUGGCCUUUUAUCAGUUGCUCUUAAGGAGAGGGAUCCCCUUCCUGGCCAUUUUUCUCUGUGAAAUAGUACUGUGUGUGUGUGUGUGUGUGUGUGUGUGUGUGAAAAGGGUGAUUCAUUACUUGACAGGACAAAUUAGGGUCCCCAGCAAAGUGAGUGCAUUUCUUUAAAGCAGUG